AUCUCGCAAAAACUCCGGUUCCGCAGCGCCGUUCAUACCCGCCUGACGAAUGCUUGCUAGGUCCUGGUAGCC
rfam:Xanthomonas oryzae pv. oryzae KACC10331, complete genome.